GAGUUUGAUCGUGGCUCAGAUUGAACGCUGGCGGCAUGCCUUACACAUGCAAGUCGAACGGCAGCAUGAUCUAGCUUGCUAGAUUGACGGCGAGUGGCGAACGGGUGAGUAAUACAUCGGAACGUGCCCUGUAGUGGGGGAUAACUAGUCGAAAGAUUAGCUAAUACCGCAUACGACCUGAGGGUGAAAGUGGGGGACCGCAAGGCCUCAUGCUAUAGGAGCGGCCGAUGUCUGAUUAGCUAGUUGGUGGGGUAAAGGCCCACCAAGGCGACGAUCAGUAGCUGGUCUGAGAGGACGAUCAGCCACACUGGGACUGAGACACGGCCCAGACUCCUACAGGAGGCAGCAGUGGGGAAUUUUGGACAAUGGGCGAAAGCCUGAUCCAGCAAUGCCGCGUGUGUGAAGAAGGCCUCGGUUGGUAAGU
rnacentral:rRNA from 1 species